rnacentral:rRNA from 1 species
UACGUAGGGUGCAAGCGUUGUCCGGAAUUAUUGGGCGUAAAGAGCUCGUAGGCGGUUUGUCGCGUCUGCUGUGAAAACUCGGGGCUUAACCCCGGGCCUGCAGUGGGUACGGGCAGACUAGAGGUAUGCAGGGGAGAAUGGAAUUCCUGGUGUAGCGGUGGAAUGCGCAGAGUAUCAGGAGGAACACCGGUGGCGAAGGCGGUUCUCUGGGCAUUACCUGACGCUGAGGAGCGAAAGCAUGGGGAGCGAACAGG